rnacentral:hammerhead_ribozyme from 1 species
CGUCAGCUGGAGUCGCAAACAGGACGAAACGCGCGUCCUGGNN